rnacentral:rRNA from 1 species
AUACGUAGGGGGCGAGCGUUGUCCGGAAUGAUUGGGCGUAAAGGGCGCGUAGGCGGCGCGGUAAGUCUGGAGUGAAAGUCCUGCUUUCAAGGUGGGAAUUGCUUUGGAUACUGCCGCGCUUGAGUGCAGGAGAGGUUAUCGGAAUUCCCGGUGUAGCGGUGAAAUGCGUAGAGAUCGGGAGGAACACCAGUGGCGAAGGCGGGUAACUGGACUGCAACUGACGCUGAGGCGCGAAAGUGUGGGGAGCAAACAGGAUUAGAUACCCUGGUAGUCCACACUGUAAACGAUGAAUGCUAGGUGUGGGGGGACUGACCCCCUCCGUGCCGCAGUUAACACAAUAAGUAUUCCACCUGGGAAGUACGAUCGCAAGAUUGAAACUCAAAGGAAUUGACGGGG